AUGCUUUAUAUAAAACUGAUUCAUCUUGCAAAAACAAACUUUGGUCGCAAAACAUGUCUAAGUAUGCUCAAAACAUUUUGUAUCUGGAUUGUUCCUAGGUCACAAAAACAAUCUUACAAAUAGAGUUUCUGCUGUUGUCACUGGUUUUAGAGAGUACCUUCGUGAAUGAAAAUAAAAAGUCAUUUAUG
rnacentral:lncRNA from 1 species